UGAAGUUUGAAAUCAAACCUUCUGUGUGGCAUAGGAAGAUUUCACAUGCAUCAGAAUAUUUCAUAUGAGAGAACUCUCAAAGAGUAUACUGGACAUGUUUUUCAUGAUGAAUUAUCCAGCGCAUGUGGCAGCCCCUGAAGAUUAUGUAAACUUCACCAUAUAACUGUGCCAGCUCCUGAUCAUAAUGGAGAAUCCUGCUUAAACAAUCCUGGAGAUGUAAAUACAAACAUCUUUUUCUCCUCUUAA